rnacentral:rRNA from 1 species
AGCAGCCGCGGUAAUUCCAGCUCCAAUAGCGUAUAUUAAAGUUGUUGCAGUUAAAAAGCUCGUAGUUGAAUUUCGGGAUCAAUAUAUCGGUCGUGCCUCCGGUAUGCACUGGUAUUAUUGAUUUCUACCUUCUGACGAAUCAUGAUGUCAUUAAUUUGGUGUCAUGGGGAAUCAGGACUGUUACUUUGAAAAAUUAGAGUGUUUAAAGCAGGCACACGCUUGAAUACAUUAGCAUGGAAUAAUGAAAUAGGACGUUUGACCCUAUUUUGUUGGUUUCUAGGAUCGACGUAAUGAUUAAUAGGGAUAGUUGGGGGCAUUAGUAUUCAAUUGUCAGAGGUGAAAUUCUUGGAUUUAUUGAAGACUAACUACUGCGAAAGCAUUUGCCAAGGAUGUUUUCAUUAAUCAAGAACGAAAGUUAGGGGAUCGAAGACGAUCAGAUACCGUUGUAGUCUUAACCAUAAACUAUGCCGACUAGGGAUCGGAUGAUGUUAAUUUUAAUGUA